UACGAAGGGGCUAGCGUUGCUCGGAAUCACUGGGCGUAAAGGGCGCGUAGGCGGCGUUUUUAAGUCGGGGGUGAAAGCCUGUGGCUCAACCACAGAAUGGCCUCGAUACUGGGACGCUUGAGUAUGGUAGAGGUUGGUGGAACUGCGAGUGUAGAGGUGAAAUUCGUAGAUAUUCGCAAGAACACCGGUGGCGAAGGCGGCCAACUGACGAUCCUU
rnacentral:rRNA from 1 species